CGCGGGCACUGGCUCGGCCGGGCCUUUCCUUCUGGAGGACCCGGUGCCCUUUAUUGGGUGUCGUGGGGAACCAGGACUUUUACUCUCAAUAAAUUAGAUCGCUUAAAAAAGGCUCUUGCUUGAAUAUUCUAGCGUGGAAUAUAAGAAAAGGACGUGUGGUUCUAUUUUGUUGGUUUCUAGAACCGCCGUAAUGAUUAAUAGGGACACUCGGGGGCAUCAGUAUUCAAUUGUCAGAGGUGAAAUUCUCGGAUUUAUUGAAGACUAACUACUGCGAAAGCAUUUGCCAAGGAUGUUUUCAUUAUUCAGGAACGAAAGUUAGGGGAUCGAAGACGAUCAGAUACCGUGGUAGUCUUAACCAUAAACUAUGCCGAUUAGGGAUCGGACGGUGUUAUUUUUUGACCCGUUUGGCACCUUACGAUAAAUCAAAAUGUUUGGGCUCUCGGGGGAGUAUGGUGGCAAGGGUGAAAAUUAAAGAAAUUGACGGAAGGGCACCACCAGGGGUGGAGCCCGCGGCUUAAUUUGACUCAACACGGGGAAACUCACCAGGUCCAGACAAAAUGAGGAUUGACAGAUUGAGAGCUCUUUCUUGAUUUUUUGGUUGGUGGUGCAUGGCCGUUCUUAGUUGGUGGAGUGAUUAGUCUGCUUAAUUGCGAUAACGAACGAGACCUCAACCUCCUAAAUAGCCCGCGCCGCUUUGGCGGCUCGCUGGCUUCUUAGAGGGACGAUCGG
rnacentral:rRNA from 1 species